ACCUGAUGGUGAGGGCAUUUAUGUAAGACGUCCCUAAAACGCUUCUAGGUCUCAAAGAAUAGUUCCCCAUCCAAUUGUGAGAAACUAGUGAUGGCUCUCCUAAGCU